rnacentral:rRNA from 1 species
UACGGGGGGGGCAAGCGUUGUUCGGAAUUACUGGGCGUAAAGGGCUCGUAGGUGGCCAACUAAGUCAGACGUGAAAUCCCCAGGCUCAACUUGGGAACUGCGUCUGAUACUGGAUGGCUUGAAUUCGGGAGAGGGAUGCAGAAUUCCAGGUGUAGCGGUGAAAUGCGUAGAUAUCUGGAGGAAUACCGGUGGCGAAGGCGGCCCACUGGAUCGGUACUGACGCUGAGGUGCGAAAGCGUGGGGAGCAAACAGG